rnacentral:rRNA from 1 species
AACGAACGCUGGCGGCAGGCCUAACACAUGCAAGUCGAGCGCCCCCUUUUAGAGGGCAGAAAUCAGAGAUCGGAAAUCAGAGAUCGGAAUUGAGCGGGGCAGCGAUGCCGGCGCGCGUUCUGAUUUUUGAUAUCUCAUUUCCGAUCUCUGCCUUCUGAUGGGGGAGCGGCGGACGGGUGAGUAACGCGUGGGAAUUUUCCNCAAGGUACGAACAACUCGAGGGAAACCUGGGCUAAUACCGUAUGAUGCAGAGAUGACCAAAG